UACAGAGGUCUCAAGCGUUGUUCGGAUUCAUUGGGCGUAAAGGGUGCGUAGGUGGUGAGGUAAGUCGGAUGUGAAAGCUCGGAGCUCAACUCCGAAAUGGCAUUGGAAACUACCUUGCUCGAGGGUUGGAGGGGGGACUGGAAUGCUUGGUGUAGCAGUGAAAUGCGUAGAUAUCAAGCGGAACACCAGUGGCGAAGGCGGGUCUCUGGACAGUUCCUGACACUGAGGCACGAAGGCCAGGGGAGCAAACGGG
rnacentral:rRNA from 1 species